AUUGAACGUUGGCGGCAGGCCUAACACAUGCAAGUCGAACGAGAAAGCACCUUCGGGUGCGAGUACAGUGGCGGACGGGUGAGUAACGCGUAGGAAUCUACCUAGUAGUGGGGGACAACUCGGGGAAACUCGAGCUAAUACCGCAUAAUAUUUUCGAAUCAAAGUGGGGGAUCUUCGGACCUCACGCUAUUAGAGGAGCCUGCGUUGGAUUAGCUUGUUGGUGAGGUAAAGGCUCACCAAGGCGACGAUCUAUAGCUGGUCUGAGAGGACGAUCAGCCACACUGGAACUGAGACACGGUCCAGACUCCUACGGGAGGCAGCAGUGGGGAAUAUUGGGCAAUGGGCGCAAGCCUGACCCAGCCAUGCCGCGUGUGUGAAGAAGGCCCUCGGGUUGUAAAGCACUUUCAGUAGCGAAGAAAAGCUUAGGGCUAAUAACCCUGAGUCUUGACGUUAACUACAGAAGAAGCACCGGCUAACUCCGUG
rnacentral:rRNA from 1 species